rnacentral:rRNA from 1 species
AUUGAACGCUGGCGGCAGGCCUAACACAUGCAAGUCGAACGGUAACAGAAAGCAUCUUGCUGCUUUUCUGACGAGUGGCGGACGGGUGAGUAAUGUCUGGGAAACUGCCUGAUGGAGGGGGAUAACUACUGGAAACGGUAGCUAAUACCGCAUAACGUCGCAAGACCAAAGAGGGGGACCUUCGGGCCUCUUGCCAUCGGAUGUGCCCAGAUGGGAUUAGCUAGUAGGUGGGGUAAAGGCUCACCUAGGCGACGAUCCCUAGCUGGUCUGAGAGGAUGACCAGCGACACUGGAACUGAGACACGGUCCAGACUCCUACGGGAGGCAGCAGUGGGGAAUAUUGAACAAUGGGCGCAAGCCGGAUGCAGCCAUGCCGCGUGUAUGAAGAAGGCCUUCGGGUUGUAAAGUACCUUCAGCGGGGAGGAAGGGAGUAAAGUUAAUACCGUUGCUCAUUGACGUUACCCGCAGAAGAAGCACCGGCUAACUCCGUG